ACGGUGAGCGACUGGUUAGAGCGUCUGCCUCACAGUUCUGAGGCAACAGUUCAAUCCCCGGCCUCGCCUGUGUGGAGUUUGCAUGUUCUCCCUGUGCCUGUGUGGGUUUUCUCCGGGAACUCCGGUUUCCUCCCACAACCCCAAAACAUCCAUGUUCAGGGUGUACCCCGCCUCCUGCCCGAUGAUAGCCGGGAUAGGCUCCAGUGCUCCAGCGACCCAAGUGAGAAGCGGCUCAGAAAAUGGAUGGAUGAAUAUGUUGUGCUGUGGUUUCAGUUUGCAAAGAAUGUCAAGAACUGGUGUGGAUAAAAUGGCAACCUCAUUCACUGUAUGUACAUUGAUGCCAAAAGUGUCGCCUGUGGCUGUGGGGAACAGUUUGGUUUAGCUGAACAUGAGUCACACAUCCAAAGAGAAAAAAAAGCUGUUAGAAUUUUUCAAGGCUCUGUUUUGACCUGACAUUCUAUGUUCCCUCAAGGAUCACGGCAACAGAUGUGUAUUUGAUGCAUUUUUUACCACACUCAUAGUGGCUGCUGGAUCUAGGUUGAAUAUUGACAGUUGUUGCAUCUCGUUGUAAGCAAAGGUUGUAAGGUUAAUCUCACCUACUCAUCCAGUUUUAAUAAUGUACCUUUAGCCACUUGAAUUCUGUUUCACUUUACCAUCAUCAUCGUCAUCAUCAUCAUCACAAUGAUUGAAUGACUUGAGCAUCAAAGAACGCUAACGAUUCCUUGAACAUAAAUAGUACAUUUGAAUAGCUGCAACAAAAAAUAUUUAAAAAUUAAAUUUUAAACGCAAACCGCUUUAAUGCUAUCAUUUGUAUCCAUUGUAGUUCACUGCAUUUAUUUCAUUUGAACGCAAUGCAAAUACGAGGGGUAUUGUUUUCAUCAUUGUUUUGUUAGUUAGCAGCAUAAUGCAAAAAUGAAUUUCAUUACAUUUUUGAAGGAGUUGCACAGUUGCUGAGCAUGAAUCCAUAAACUGUGGUGCAUAUGUGGAUAAAAAUGCAGUCAUUGGAAAUGAAUUUCUUUUUGUCACUUUUAGUCUUGGAACUGUUGCCUACCCCACAAUACUAACAUACGGACAGACAGACAAUCUACAAAGCUCCAAAAUGUUUCUGUUUUGUUACAGGAAUUGAUUUUGUCUU